CAAAGCAUACAUGUUACCAGAAAGAUGGCUGAAUUUCAGAACCAUCGAGUGAAACAUAUGAACUUGAAGAUAAAGACAUUGGGAAGAAGGGGUCGACAAGAGCUGAAAAUGAUAUUGGUGGGGAUCAGUGGCUUGAACCCAGUUCCUUGAACCUGGCUUGACACCUGAACCAUUUUGAAAACCCUGAUUAUUCCACUGGUAACAAUGGAAUGACAUCACAUUGAGGACCGAUAUAAUAUUGUAAGUCCAGUCAGCAGGAAGCCAACCGGUUGUUUCACAUUGGUUCACUUAACAAAUAUUCUUGAUAAUCAACUCUUCUUAUGCACUAUACUGAAGUCUGAAGAUGGUUAUGCUGGAAAAAGAUGUAACAAGUUAUUAUGAGGUCUUGGAGAAGAGAUAUUCAACUCACUAUGAGAAGGGAAAGGGGGAGUGUGAUUGUCAGGAAAGCUUUUAGGUGCUUGUAUUUGAGUGAUUUUCAAAGGUUGAGUGGAAAGUAGGCAGGUAGAGGGUAUUGGUGGAAGUGAGGGGAGGAUAAACAGAAAAGUGGAGAUAAAGUUAGCAAGCUAGGAAAGUAACAAUCUGUCAUGAGAAACUACAGAAAUUCCAAACUUUCUGUAAUAUAAGGUGUGAGAUUGAGUCAUGGAAAAAUAAAGGAAGGAGAUUGAAUGGUAAAAAAUUAAAGGGAGGAGAUUGAGUGUUAAGGUGGUGGGCACAACAAGUUGAGUGCACAAUUUCUAGUCUGUAAGGACUAGAGUUCAAGCCCCUGAUCCCCACUCUUCAGUGGGAAAGCUUCAUGAGUGGUGAAACAGUGUUGUAUAUGUCUUUCUCUCACUUUCCCCUCUC